AGAGUUUGAUCCUGGCUCAGAUUGAACGCUGGCGGCAGGCCUAACACAUGCAAGUCGAACGGUAGCACAGAGAGCUUGCUCUCGGGUGACGAGUGGCGGACGGGUGAGUAAUGUCUGGGAAACUGCCUGAUGGAGGGGGAUAACUACUGGAAACGGUAGCUAAUACCGCAUAAUGUCGCAAGACCAAAGAGGGGGACCUUCGGGCCUCUUGCCAUUAGAUGUGCCCAGAUGGGAUUAGCUAGUAGGUGGGGUAAUGGCUCACCUAGGCGACGAUCCCUAGCUGGUCUGAGAGGAUGACCAGCCACACUGGAACUGAGACACGGUCCAGACUCCUACGGGAGGCAGCAGUGGGGAAUAUUGCACAAUGGGCGCAAGCCUGAUGCAGCCAUGCCGCGUGUAUGAAGAAUGCCUUCGGGUUGUAAAGUACUUUCAGCGGGGAGGAAGGCGAUGCGGUUAAUAACCGCGUCGAUUGACGUUACCCGCAGAAGAAGCACCGGCUAACUCCGUGCCAGCAGCCGCGGUAAUACGAAGGGUGCAAGCGUUACUCGGAAUUACUGGGCGUAAAGCGUGCGUAGGUGGUUGUUUAAGUCUGUCGUGAAAGCCCUGGGCUCAACCUGGGAACUGCAGUGGAAACUGGGCGACUAGAGUGUGGUAGAGGGGGGUAGAAUUCCAGGUGUAGCGGUGAAAUGCGUAGAGAUCUGGAGGAACAUCCAUGGCGAAGGCAGCUACCUGGGCCAACACUGACACUGAGGCACGAAAGCGUGGGGAGCAAACAGGAUUAGAUACCCUGGUAGUCCACGCCCUAAACGAUGCGAACUGGAUGUUGGGUGCACUUUGGCACGCAGUAUCGAAGCUAACGCGUUAAGUUCGCCGCCUGGGGAGUACGGUCGCAAGACUGAAACUCAAAGGAAUUGACGGGGGCCCGCACAAGCGGUGGAGUAUGUGGUUUAAUUCGAUGCAACGCGAAGAACCUUACCUGGCCUUGACAUGUCGAGAACUUUCCAGAGAUGGAUUGGUGCCUUCGGGAACUCGAACACAGAUGCUGCAUGGCUGACGUCAGCUCGUGUCGUGAGAUGUUGGGUUAAGUCCCGCAACGAGCGCAACCCUUGUCCUUAGUUCCCAGCACGUAAUGGUGGGAACUCUAAGGAGACCGCCGGUGACAAACCGGAGGAAGGUGGGGAUGACGUCAAGUCAUCAUGGCCCUUACGGCCAGGGCUACACACGUACUACAAUGGUGGGGACAGAGGGCUGCAAACCGGCGACGGUAAGCCAAUCCCAGAAACCCCAUCUCAGUCCGGAUUGGAGCCUGCAACUCGACUCCAUGAAGUCGGAAUCGCUAGUAAUCGCAGAUCAGCACUGCUGCGGUGAAUACGUUCCCGGGCCUUGUACACACCGCCCGUCACACCAUGGGAGUUUGUUGCACCAGAAGCAGAUAGAUUAACCUUCGGGAGGGCGCUUGCCACGGUGUGGCCGAUGACUGGGGGAAGUCGUAACAAGGUA
rnacentral:rRNA from 1 species